rnacentral:rRNA from 1 species
UGAAGUAAGUAAGGGCGUACGGUGAAUGCCUUGGUGCCAACAGGCGAAGAAGGACGCGGCAAGCUGCGAAAAGCCUCGGGAAGCUGCAAGCAAGCGAUGAUCCGGGGAUAUCCGAAUGGGGUAACCUGAUCGAGGCAAUACUCGAUCGUUCAUACCUGAAUACAUAGGGUAUGAAACGCGAAACCCGCUGAAGUGAAACAUCUCAGUAAGCGGAGGAAAAGAAAGAGAAAUCGAUUCCGUAAGUAGUGGCGAGCGAAAGCGGAUGGAGCCCAAACCGAAGGUAUUCCUUCGGGGUUGUAGGACCACGUCAUAUUCGACCAUACUGGAUAGUAGAACAGCCUGGAAAGGCUGGCCGUAGAAGGUGAAAGCCCUGUAGACGAAAUCCAGAGUGGGAAUUAGUGGUAUCCUGAGUAAUACAUCACACGUGGAACGAUGUAUGAAACCGCGCGGACCACCGCGCAAGGCUAAAUACUAGUUGGCGACCGAUAGUGAACAAGUACCGCGAGGGAAAGGUGAAAAGAACCGCUGUGAGCGGAGUGAAAUAGAACCUGAAACCGUAUGUCUACAAAGUGUCAGAGCAGAGCAAUCUGCGAUGGCGUGCCUUUUGUUUAAUGAGUCUGCGAGUCAGUGUUUGUGGCAAGACUAAGGGCUUCCGGCCCGGAGUCGCAGCGAAAGCAAGUCCGAACAGGGCGCAAUAAGUCGCAGGUACUGGACCCGAAGCGGAGGUGACCUACCCUUGGCCAGGUUGAAGCAUGGGUAAAACCAUGUGGAGGACCGAACAGGUGAACGUUGAAAAGUUCUCUGAUGAGCUGAGGGUAGGAGUGAAAGGCUAAUCAAACCCCGUGAUAGCUGGUUCUCUUCGAAAUGCAUUUAGGUGCAGCGUCACGUGCUGAUGCGCGGGGGUAGAGCACUGACAAGGCUAGGGGGCACACCCGCUUACCAAACCUUAUCAAACUCCGAAUACCGUGCAAUGGAACGUGGCAGUGAGACAGUGGGGGAUAAGCUUCAUUGUCGAGAGGGAAACAACCCAGACCAGCAGCUAAGGUGCCUAAAUAACGCUCAGUGGAAAGGAUGUGGGAUUACACAGACAGUGAGGAUGUUGGCUUAGAAGCAGCCACCAUUUAAAAAAUGCGUAAUAGCUUACUCAUCGAGUGAUCCUGCGCCGAAAAUGAUUGGCGAUCAAGCGUUAUACCGAAGCUCUGGACUUUGCCGCAAGGCAGAGUGGUAGAAGAGCGUUGCAUGCGCGUCGAAGGGCGAUGGCGACUGACCCUGGAGCACAUGCAAGUGAGUAUGCAGACAUGAGUAACGUUAAGCCGGGUGAAAUCCCCGGCCGCCGUAAACCCGAGGUUUCCAGGGCAACGUGUUUCGUCCCUGGGUUAGCCGGGACCUAAGCCGAGGCCGAGAGGCGUAGGCGAUGGACAUCAGGUUAAUAAUCCUGAGCUCGCAACCCUUAAACUGGGGGGACGCAUGAGAAAAGAUGACUAGGUUAUUGAAUUCCGAGUUGAGUCCACGGACUCAGCGCAUCAUUGGAUCGAGUGCCAAGAAAAGCCCCAGCGUAUGCUAAGCGACCCGUACCGCAAACCGACACAGGUGGGUGGGUAGAAUAUACCAAGGCGUAAGAGUGAAACCUGGUUAAGGAACUCGGCAAAUUAACCCCGUAACUUCGGAAGAAGGGGUGCCUGCAGCGAUGCAGGCCGCAGAGAAAUGGCCCAACCGACUGUUUAUCAAAAACACAGCACUCUGCAAAGACGCAAGUCGAAGUAUAGGGUGUGACACGUGACCAAUGCCGAAAGAUUAAGGCAAGGGGUUAGCCGCAAGGCGAAGCUCUAAACCCAAGUCCCGGUGAAUGUCGGCCGUAACUAUAACGGUCCUAAGGUAGCGAAAUUCCUUGUCGGGUAAGUUCCGACCUGCACGAAUCGUG